UCCCAGAAGUGGCUCCAUGUCAGAAAGCCCACCAUCCGCUCCGGGAAGCUCUGCCACACCACGAAAGCAAAGUCCACCUGGGAGAUAGCAUCAAGUCCAGGGCCUGGUGCUCAGAAAGUGACUGCUGGGUGAAUAAAUGAGUGAACACA